AUUGAACGCUGGCGGCAGGCCUAACACAUGCAAGUCGAACGGUAACAGGAAACAGCUUGCUGUUUCGCUGACGAGUGGCGGACGGGUGAGUAAUGUCUGGGAAACUGCCUGAUGGAGGGGGAUAACUACUGGAAACGGUAGCUAAUACCGCAUAACGUCGCAAGACCAAAGAGGGGGACCCUCGGGCCUCUUGCCAUCGGAUGUGCCCAGAUGGGAUUAGCUUGUUGGUGGGGUAACGGCUCACCAAGGCGACGAUCCCUAGCUGGUCUGAGAGGAUGACCAGCCACACUGGAACUGAGACACGGUCCAGACUCCUACGGGAGGCAGCAGUGGGGAAUAUUGCACAAUGGGCGCAAGCCUGAUGCAGCCAUGCCGCGUGUAUGAAGAAGGCCUUCGGGUUGUAAAGUACUUUCAGCGGGGAGGAAGGGAGUAAAGUUAAUACCUUUGCUCAUUGACGUUACCCGCAGAAGAAGCACCGGCUAACUCCGUGCCAGCAGCCGCGGUAAUACGGAGGGUGCAAGCGUUAAUCGGAAUUACUGGGCGUAAAGCGCACGCAGGCGGUUUGUUAAGUCAGAUGUGAAAUCCCCGGGCUCAACCUGGGAACUGCAUCUGAUACUGGCAAGCUUGAGUCUCGUAGAGGGGGGUAGAAUUCCAGGUGUAGCGGUGAAAUGCGUAGAGAUCUGGAGGAAUAC
rnacentral:rRNA from 1 species